AAAUAUGUAAGUACUAAGUGGUGAUAUGCACUUUGCACAGUCCAUUUUUUACACUAUCCUAGGCAAACCGGCGUCGUAUAACCGACGUGUGUUGCCUUCUCUCUCCUUAAACCCUUAAACCUCCAGGUCCAAGUUGCAAAACCCUCAGCUUGAUUUUCAAAAAAUGGCGAUUUGCAAGAUCAAUCAUCUGUUCUUCGAAAAGUCAGUAGCUUCAAAUCGUGGUUUGUGUACAGCGACCUCGACUGCAAUGGCUGUGACGCAACCCAAAAAGGCAAACUCCCUAUUUAGCGCCGUGUCAAAGCUCAGGAUCACACCAGACUCUGAAACCAGCAUUGCUAACACUCUUGAUGAAUGGGUGAAUCAAGGCAAACCUGUAAAGAGAUUUGACAUUAUAAACCUCAUCAACUAUUUCCGCAAUCGCGUGAAUUAUCGGUCNNNN
rnacentral:lncRNA from 1 species